rnacentral:tRNA from 1 species
UGCCUUAUAGUUAAUAUCAUAACAUCAAACUGCAAUUUUGAAAUAGAUUUAAAAUCUAAGGCUU